UCUCCGUAGGUGAACCUGCGGAGGGAUCAUUACAGAGUUCAUGCCCUACCGGGUAGAUCUCCCACCCUAUGUUAUUAUUACUUUGUUGCUUUGGCGGGCCGUUAGGCUCCGGCCCGACUACCGGCCCCGGCUGGUAAGCGCCCGCCAGAGGACCCAAAACCCUGAAUAUCAGUGUCGUCUGAGUACUAUAUAAUAGUUAAAACUUUCAACAACGGAUCUCUUGGCUCUG
rnacentral:misc_RNA from 1 species